GAUUGAGCCUCAUGGCUCUGCUACUGGGAAGCGUGGGCGUAAGACUCCUCGAGAGUCAGAUACUCUCGAGGAGCGAGAAAGAAAGAGGCUGCGAGAUAUCUUUGCAGAACCAUCUGACGAGGAUUCUUUUGAGGGGUUUACAGAGAGAAUGGAGGAAGAGGUGGUGAGCUCGGAAGAGGAUGAGAUGGAUUGGACUCGGGUAAGGGAGGAAUUGGGUGCCACUGGCAAUGAUGGGAUGGAAGAUGAUUGGGGACCUUCAGGACUAGACCCAUGGACAAGCUGGAGGGAUGGGACGGGAUCCACAGCUGGGGAUGCUGUGGGGCGUAGUCAGAGGUGUUCCAGCUCUGAUGAGGAAAGUGAUGAGGAAACGCCCGGGUUAAGGAGGGCAGCUGAUAGUGAUGAGGAUUUGUAACUGGCAUAAAAUGGGGUUUGGGAGCAAUUGCAAAUUGCGUUGGGCAAGGUAAUCUGGACGAACGCUUGGGAUCUGUGUGGGACGUUUUCCUGAAGACGGGUGUGUUUCGUGUGCUGACUACCUUUGACCUUCCGUCGUCUUCUUGACGGACGCCAUCUGCUACUCUGGAUUUACGGACUGAACUGACUACGGGCUC